GACGAACCGUGCGAACGUUAUUCGGAAUCACUGGGCUUAAAGGGUGCGUAGGCUGCGAGGAGGGUGGGGUGUGAAAUCCCUCGGCCUAACCGAGGAAUUGCGCUCCAAACCGCCUUGCUGGAGUGAGACAGAGGUGAGGCGGAACUAAAUGGUGGAGCGGUGAAAUGCGUUGAUAUCAUUAGGAACACCAGAGGCGAAGGCGGCUCACUGGGUCUCAACUGACGCUGAUGCACGAAAGCUAGGGUAGCGAACGG
rnacentral:rRNA from 1 species